rnacentral:rRNA from 1 species
CCUACGGGCGGCUGCAGUGGGGAAUAUUGGACAAUGGGCGAAAGCCUGAUCCAGCCAUGCCGCGUGUGUGAAGAAGGCCUUCGGGUUGUAAAGCACUUUCAGUGGGGAAGAAAGCCUUGGGGCUAAUACCCUCGAGGAAGGACAUCACCCACAGAAGAAGCACCGGCUAACUCCGUGCCAGCAGCCGCGGUAAUACGGAGGGUGCGAGCGUUAAUCGGAAUUACUGGGCGUAAAGCGCGCGUAGGCGGUCUGAUAAGCCGGUUGUGAAAGCCCCGGGCUCAACCUGGGAACGGCAUCCGGAACUGUCAGGCUAGAGUGCAGGAGAGGAAGGUAGAAUUCCCGGUGUAGCGGUGAAAUGCGUAGAGAUCGGGAGGAAUACCAGUGGCGAAGGCGGCCUUCUGGACUGACACUGACGCUGAGGUGCGAAAGCGUGGGUAGCAAACAGGAUUAGAUACCGUGUAGUC